rnacentral:lncRNA from 1 species
UUGGUGUGGGGAUGCGGGAUGCUUCAAGGAAACUUGUAGGAAUCCUCUUAAAUGCCUCUGGUGUCUUAAGUUUGGCCAUCCUUUCAAAUGAUGUAGGAAGGAUCUCUCCUCUCGUCCUUGGUCUCCUUUUGACAAACUUGUUCACCCUCACACUGAGCCUCCUUCCAACUCGCCUUCUCCUACUGAUAUUUCCCCUAACCCCACAGAUACUUUCCAGUCUCUAGCCAUGUUUAGAAUUUCUAAGGUCUUUUUAGCUUUUUCUUUCGGUAUGGCUGAC